rnacentral:rRNA from 1 species
UACGUAGGGGGCUAGCGUUGUCCGGAAUCAUUGGGCGUAAAGCGCGUGUAGGCGGUCCGGUAAGUCCGCUGUGAAAGUCGGGGGCUCAACCCUCGAAAGCCGGUGGAAACUGUCGGGCUAGAGUGCGGAAGAGGCGAGUGGAAUUCCUGGUGUAGCGGUGAAAUGCGCAGAUAUCAGGAGGAACACCGAUGGGCGAAGGCAGGUCUCUGGGCAUUAACUGACGCUGAGGAGCGAAAGCAUGGGGAGCGAACAGG